GACGAACGCUGGCGGCGUGCUUAACACAUGCAAGUCGAACGAUGAACCCGGAGCUUGCUCCGGUGGAUUAGUGGCGAACGGGUGAGUAACACGUGAGCAAUCUGCCCUUGACUCUGGGAUAACUGCGGGAAACUGUAGCUAAUACCGGAUACUUUCACUGGAAGGCAUCUUCUGGUGAAGAAAGAAUUUCGGUCAAGGAUGAGCUCGCGGCCUAUCAGCUUGUUGGUGAGGUAACGGCUCACCAAGGCGACGACGGGUAGCGGGCCUGAGAGGGUGACCGGCCACACUGGGACUGAGACACGGCCCAGACUCCUACGGGAGGCAGCAGUGGGGAAUAUUGCACAAUGGGCGCAAGCCUGAUGCAGCAACGCCGCGUGAGGGAUGAAGGCCUUCGGGUUGUAAACCUCUUUUAGCAGGGAAGAAGCGAAAGUGACGGUACCUGCAGAAAAAGCACCGGCUAACUACGUGCCAGCCGCCGCAGUAA
rnacentral:rRNA from 1 species